rnacentral:rRNA from 1 species
AGUGAACGCUGGCGGUAGGCCUAACACAUGCAAGUCGAACGGCAGCACAGUAAGAGCUUGCUCUUACGGGUGGCGAGUGGCGGACGGGUGAGGAAUACAUCGGAAUCUACUUUUUCGUGGGGGAUAACGUAGGGAAACUUACGCUAAUACCGCAUACGACCUACGGGUGAAAGCAGGGGAUCUUCGGACCUUGCGCGAUUGAAUGAGCCGAUGUCGGAUUAGCUAGUUGGCGGGGUAAAGGCCCACCAAGGCGACGAUCCGUAACUGGUCUGAGAGGAUGAUCAGCCACACUGGAACUGAGACACGGUCCAGACUCCUACGGGAGGCAGCAGUGGGGAAUAUUGGACAAUGGGCGCAAGCCUGAUCCAGCCAUACCGCGUGGGUGAAGAAGGCCUUCGGGUUGUAAGGCCCUUUUGUUGGGAAAGAAAAGCAGCAGGUUAAUACCCCGCUGUUCUGACGGUACCCAAAGAAUAAGCACCGGCUAACUUCGUG